GUUAGGAAUAUUGGACAAUGGGCGCAAGCCUGAUCCAGCCAUGCCGCGUGAGUGAUGAAGGCCUUCGGGUUGUAAAGCUCUUUAGUCCACGAAUAUAAUGACUGUAGUGGAAGAAUAAGCCCCGGCUAACUUCGUGCCAGCAGCCGCGGUAAUACGAAGGGGGCGAGCGUUAUUCGGAAUCACUGGGCGUAACGCGUGCGUAGGCUGUUUUGUAAGUCAGAAGUGAAAGCCCAGGGCUUAACCCUGGAAUUGCUUUUGAAACUACAAGACUCGAAUUCGGGAGAGGAUAGCGGAAUUGUCAGUGUAGCAGUGAAAUGCGUAGAUAUUGACAGGAACACCAGUGGCGCAAGCGGCUAUCUGGACCGAUAUUGACGCUGAGGCACGAAAGCGUGGGGAGCAAACAGGAUUAGAAACCCGAGUAGUCC
rnacentral:rRNA from 1 species